CUAGAAUACCAAGUGUUCAGUCUCAAAUCUGUAAACUCUCUUUUUUAUCUUAAACACAAAAAAUCUUCACUAGAUUUGGUGAUCUUGGGGCUAUAAACCUGAUUAUAUUUAGGUUUUUGAAUUCACAGCCCAGUAUAGGCAUGAUAUACGCAGUCACUCAGUGAUAUGAAACUCUCAGAAACAGAAGAGAAGCUAACAUUUUUCACAAGGAGCUCUCAUUUGGAAGGACAUUCCUGUGGGGAGGCAAAUGUGAAUAUGCAACAGAAGGCUUAGCUGAGCGCAUGCAAAGGAAAUCUGUGUGUAAAUCCAACUGGGAUGAGACAGACAAAGCCCAAAGUAGAGAAGAGACCUGCAGACUGCAAGAAGAGAAUAAAGCAAC
rnacentral:lncRNA from 1 species